UACAGAGGGUGCGAGCGUUAAUCGGAUUUACUGGGCGUAAAGCGUGCGUAGACGGUAGCGUAAGUCGGGUGUGAAAGCCCCGGGCUCAACCUGGGAAUUGCAUUCGAGACUGCUCUGCUAGGGUGCGGAAGAGGGGAGCGGAAUUUCCGGUGUAGCGGUGAAAUGCGUAGAUAUCGGGAAGAACACCCGUGGCGAAGGCGGUUCUCUGGGACGGUACUGACGCUGAGACGCGAAAGCGUGGGGAGCGAACAGG
rnacentral:rRNA from 1 species